UGUGCUCUGCAGUGUGAGGUAGUUGGUUGUAUGGUUUCGCAUAAUAAACAGCACGGAGAUAACUGUACAACCUUCUAGCUUUCCCUGCGGAGUCAC
ensembl:miRNA mirlet7d-1 microRNA let7d-1